rnacentral:rRNA from 1 species
AUGCACACAGAUCACACACACGAGCACAUACUCAUGCGUGGCUUAUUCCUAACAUUCUCCCCUCUAAGCCACGACCUCGCCGCCCAUCCUGACAGGACUCCGGCCUCUCGUCGACUGCCACGGAGAACGCCCUUCUUCAUCUCCGGUGACACACGCCGCAGCUUCUCUUCCUGGCGCACCAACGGCCUUAAUUUCCUCGAGCUCGAACUCGACUCCGGGCACUGCCAUUACAACGUACACGGGGGAUUUUAUACCCAGGGACGCGCCGGGCACGCACCCACGUCCCAGCCCACAUCGAGCACCCGCCCCGCCCGCUCUGCCCUGCGCCCCCUCCGACAUGCACGCACACGUCUGGGCGCGGCGAGCCCACGAUGGACCAGCUCAACGCGCACACCCCCGCUCGCCAACGGCCACCCUACACCACGGUCCCGCCGCGCCUGA